UACGUAGGCAGCGAGCGUUGUUCGGAAUUACUGGGCGUAAAGCGUGCGUAGGCGGUGCCUCAAGUUUGGUGUGAAAUCUCCCGGCUCAACCGGGAGGGUGCGCCGAAAACUGAGGUGCUCGAGUGUGGGAGAGGUAAGCGGAAUUCCCGGUGUAGCGGUGAAAUGCGUAGAUAUCAGGAGGAACACCGGCGGUGUAGACGGCUUACUGGACCAUAACUGACGCUGAGGCACGAAAGUGUGGGGAGCAAACAGG
rnacentral:rRNA from 1 species